AGUGAACGCUGGCGGUAGGCCUAACACAUGCAAGUCGAACGGCAGCACAGUAAGAGCUUGCUCUUACGGGUGGCGAAUGGCGGACGGGUGAGGAAUACAUCGGAAUCUACUUUUUCGGGGGGGAUAACGUAGGGAAACUUACGCUAAGACCGCAGACCACCUACGGGUGAAAGCAGGGGAUCGUCGGACCUUGCGCGAUUGAAUUAGCCGAUGUGGGAUUAGCUAGUUGGCGGGGUAAAGGCCCACCAAGGCGACGAUCCGUAGCUGGUCUGAGAGGAUGAUCAGCCACACGGGAACUGAGACACGGUCCAGACUCCUACGGGAGGCAGCAGUGGGGAAUAUUGGACAAUGGGCGAAAGCCUGAUCCAGCCAGACCGAGUGGGUGAAGAAGGCCUUCGGGUUGUAAAGCCCUUUUGUUGGGAAAGAAAAGCAGCAGGUUAAUACCCCGCUGUUCUGACGGUACCCAAAGAAUAAGCACCGGCUAACUUCGUG
rnacentral:rRNA from 1 species